UUCCUCUCAGCCAUGGAAACCAGAUCGAGUUUAAACCAUCACAAAAAUCUCAAUCAUCACAAAAAUAUCUUCCUCUCAGCCGAUGAAUCCAUCUGUGUAACUUGAUUUCGCAAAACCUAAUCUCAUAAGUUUUUGGAUUUUUAGGGUUUAAUCUGUUUUUCAAUAACUUAAUCUCAUAUCAGCAAACCCGGUUUACAGAAUCAAAUCUAUCUUUGAAUUUCGCAAACCCUAAGAAGAUUUUGAGACUCAAGAUUCAAGUAUAAACCCUAGAAAAAUCAGUGAAUGGAGCGAUGGAUUAUGGAGCUUCUGAAGUGCAGUGGCUAGGGUUGCAGUUGAGAAUUGAGAUUGUGUUGUGUGAAGUGCGGAAAGAAGCAAUUGCAGGUGAUAUUCAAGAAUGGGAAAUUGAGUUAUGAAAGAUUGAAUUGAACUGAAUUACUGUGUGGGCUGAGCUGAACUGAAGUUGAUGGUUGAACUGAGUGCAGUCAAGCCAUGGCAUUGCAGGUGGUAUGGAACUGAGCUUGGAAUUUGGGACUGAAAUUUAAGAUAGUUGCAUCUUUUGUUCAAAGUUGGUUCAUUGGUGAGACUGUUGUCUCAUUCAAAAUCUAUAUUCUUUGGGCCUUUAAGUGGGACUCUUGUCUUACUCAAAAUCCUAACUGUGAGCGUGGGAAUACUUAUUUUGAGAGUGACAAAGGCAGUAACUCAGUUGGCUCUCUAACUGUCAAUAAGCUCUUUUUCUUCAGAUGAAAAUAGACAAGGAACAGAAAAUCUUGUCAAUUCGUGACCAUGGUAUAAGAAUGACAAUGGAAGAUCUUAUUAAGGACUUCAAAACUGGAACUUCUGCCUUUGUGGAGAAAAUGCAGACAAUUGGUGACUUCAAUUUAAUUGGGCAGUUUGGAGUUGGGUUUUACUGUCUAUCUUGUUGCCGAUUAUGUCGAAUUCAUUAGCAAGCAUAAUGAUCACAAACAGUACCUAUGGGAGUCUUAAGGCUGAUGAAAAGUUUUUGUUAUUUCUGAGGAUGAAUGGAAUGAACCACUAGGACGAAGAACUGAGAUUAGGUUGCAUCUAAGGUGGGGAGUUUUGGAGGAAGAUAAAUUUAAAGUUGUAUGAUCUAAUUGGUGUUUGCGGAUGAUGCAACCAAGGAAGUGGAUGUUGAAGUUCCAGCAGACGAAGAUGACAGCGAAGCUGAAUCAUCUGAAAGGAGUUUCAUAGAGGGUAAAGAAGUAGAAGAAGAUGGUGAGAAAUACAGACUGGACAAAUAGACUGGAUUGAUCAAGGUAAUCUUCCUGGAUGUUUUCUCCGAGCUCAAGCCAUUGGUCUCAUGCCUAUAAUCGACCAGAUGCAGAUCAGUGUUGUUGGCGGGUUAGUGUUAAUACGGUACUUAUACAAGGGAUCUGUAUGUCCAUGUUGGCUGGCCUAUAUAUUGAAGAUAUGGGCAUGCACUUGAGGCAUUCAAGUUGAUUGUGGCUGAUCCUGAUACCAAUCCAAGCUUGCACUGAAGCAAUACAUAGCCACAAGGGUAAACUGGUAGUAAAGGAGGCAUCAAGAGCAGUGAGUAUUAACUUUCUUGAAAUCAAUCUUAAAACCUAGUGCAACAUAUACCGUAAGAGCUAUGUAACAUGUGGUUGUGUAAAAACUUUUAUUCAUUUUAGUAAACAACUAUGGAGUAUGAAUUAUGAAACUGAAUUUGAAUGCUAGUGAGCAAGCACGAUGAUAACUUGCCCAGCAUAGAAUGAAUGUAAAAGAGUGUUUAGGUACUUAUCAGAAUUUGAUACUUAACAGAAUUUUUUUUGGUGCUUAGAAGAAUUUGUAUUCUUUAUUAAUAGAACUGAAUGAAUGUUGAUGUAAAUUGAUUGAAGCAAUUAUUGUUGAAUGUGGAUGGAUUGAAAGGUUUGUACA